rnacentral:rRNA from 1 species
GUCGAACGGAAGGNCCCUUCGGGGGUGCUCGAGUGGCGAACGGGUGAGUMACACGUGGGUGAUCUGCCCUGCACUUUGGGAUAAGCCUGGGAAACUGGGUCUAAUACCGAAUAGGACUCCGGACUGCAUGGUCUGGGGUGGAAAGCUUUUGCGGUGUGGGAUGGGCCCGCGGCCUAUCAGCUUGUUGGUGGGGUGAUGGCCUACCAAGGCGACGACGGGUAGCCGGCCUGAGAGGGUGUCCGGCCACACUGGGACUGAGAUACGGCCCAGACUCCUACGGGAGGCAGCAGUGGGGAAUAUUGCACAAUGGGCGCAAGCCUGAUGCAGCGACGCCGCGUGAGGGAUGACGGCCUUCGGGUUGUAAACCUCUUUCGCCAGGGACGAAGCGCAAGUGACGGUACCUGGAGAAGAAGCACCGGCCAACUACGUGCCAGCAGCCGCGGUAAUACGUAGGGUGCGAGCGUUGUCCGGAAUUACUGGGCGUAAAGAGCUCGUAGGUGGUUUGUCGCGUUGUUCGUGAAAACUCACAGCUUAACUGUGGGCGUGCGGGCGAUACGGGCAGACUGGAGUACUGCAGGGGAGACUGGAAUUCCUGGUGUAGCGGUGGAAUGCGCAGAUAUCAGGAGGAACACCGGUGGCGAAGGCGGGUCUCUGGGCAGUAACUGACGCUGAGGAGCGAAAGCGUGGGGAGCGAACAGGAUUAGAUACCCUGGUAGUCCACGCCGUAAACGGKGGGUACUAGGUGUGGGUUUCCUUCCUUGGGAUCCGUGCCGUASCUAACGCAUUAAGUACCCCGCCUGGGGAGUACGGSCSCAAGGCUAAAACUCAAAGGAAUUGACGGGGGCCCGC